GUUUUUUAAGAAAAUUUCAACUCCUGAACCAGAUGAAUUAUUACCUGAGACAGUUGUAUCCAGUGCUGUCUUCAGGGUGGAUUGGAUUGUGUGGAGCCAUAAUCUUGUUCUCAGAACCCCCUGACUGCCAGAUAGGACAAACAGAAGAUGAUGCUAUGACCUUCUGGAAAAUAGCUUCUGCUCAGAUUGAAGACCUCGGUGACAAAUGCGUUCGUUUAUGGACCAGAUACACAGUGGACCCUUUGGAUAACUGAAUGGAGAAACUACGUUGCUACUCUACUUUUACAUCCUUAAAAUGAAAAAAUCGAGAGUUAUAAAGGCUGAGAGAUUUUCCCAGGGACACUGCAGAGCAGAUAUCCAAUCUACUGGUUCCUGGUCCGCUGCCUUUCCAUUGUGCCACACGGGCUGUCUGAGAAAGAUAGACCUUCAACCAGCCAACCAGCCAGCCGGUCAGCUAAAGCAGACUGAGCACACAGAGGAUCCAGAGCAAUGUCCUAGUAACUGUAUCCAAGAUGUAUAUUGUUUUUCUCUUGGUAAAUCUAAAAUGACUAGCUAAAUAAUUUCAUUUAUUUGGUAACUAUGUUGAUUAAAGAGUAUUCAAUAUAGCAAAUUCAUAAAAUAAUUGUCCUGAAAAGUUUGGAUAAAAAUCUACAUUUCAUAUUGUGCAGAAGCUAUUAUAAUUUUAAAAUAUCUUUCUUCGAAUUUUCAGUGGGA
rnacentral:lncRNA from 1 species